rnacentral:rRNA from 1 species
CCCCCUCAAGAUGAGAUAUCUCAUAGCAUAAGCUAGUAAGACCCCUUGAAGACGACGAGGUGGAUAGGACAGAGGUGGAAGCAUGGCAACAUGUGUAGCUGACUGUUACUAAUAGGUCGAGGGCUUGACCAUA